UGCUAAACUCACAAGCUACAGACAGGAGGC
rnacentral:piRNA from 1 species